GGAGGGGUCGCAUAGUGGCCUAGUGCGGCUGCUUGGAGAGCAGCUAUGUCCGAAAGGGCAUCGAGAGUUCGAAUCUCUCCCCCUCCGCCA
rnacentral:tRNA from 1 species